rnacentral:rRNA from 1 species
UACGUAGGGACCAAGCGUUGUUCGGAUUUACUGGGCGUAAAGGGCGCGUAGGCGGCACUGCAAGUCAGUUGUGAAAUCUCCGGGCUUAACCCGGAAAGGUCAACUGAUACUGCAGGGCUAGAGUGCAGAAGGGGCAACUGGAAUUCUCGGUGUAGCGGUGAAAUGCGUAGAUAUCGAGAGGAACACCUGCGGCGAAGGCGGGUUGCUGGGCUGACACUGACGCUGAGGCGCGAAAGCCAGGGGAGCGAACGGG